GACGAACGCUGGCGGCGUGCUUAACACAUGCAAGUCGAACGGAGCGCUUUUGAUAGAGACUUCGGUCAAUGGAUAAAGUUGCUUAGUGGCGGACUGGUGAGUAACGCGUGAGGAACCUGCCUUUCAGAGGGGGACAACAGUUGGAAACGACUGCUAAUACCGCAUGACGCAUGACUGGGGCAUCCCGGACAUGCCAAAGAUUUAUCGCUGAAAGAUGGCCUCGCGUCUGAUUAGAUAGUUGGUGGGGUAACGGCCUACCAAGUCGACGAUCAGUAGCCGGACUGAGAGGUUGACCGGCCACAUUGGGACUGAGAUACGGCCCAGACUCCUACGGGAGGCAGCAGUGGGGAAUAUUGGGCAAUGGACGCAAGUCUGACCCAGCAACGCCGCGUGAAGGAAGAAGGCUUUCGGGUUGUAAACUUCUUUUAAGAGGGAACAGCAGAAGAGGGUACCUCUUGAAUAAGCCACGGCUAACUACGUGCCAGCAGCCGCGGU
rnacentral:rRNA from 1 species